GCUUACACAUGCAGUCGAGGGGUAUAGGUUUUCGGAUCUAGAGACCGGCGCACGGGUGCGUAACGCGUAUGCAAUCUACCUUUUACAGAGGGAUAGCCCAGAGAAAUUUGGAUUAAUACCUCAUAGUAUGUAAGAAUGGCAUCAUUUUUAUAUUAAAGUCACAACGGUAAAAGAUGAGCAUGCGUCCCAUUAGCUAGAUGGUAAGGUAACGGCUUACCAUGGCAACGAUGGGUAGGGGUCCUGAGAGGGAGAUCCCCCACACUGGUACUGAGACACGGACCAGACUCCUACGGGAGGCAGCAGUGAGGAAUAUUGGACAAUGGGCGCAAGCCUGAUCCAGCCAUGCCGCGUGCAGGAAGACGCAUCUAUGGUGUGUAAACUGCUUUUGUACGGGAAGAAACACUCCUACGUGUAGGAGCUUGACGGUACCGUAAGAAUAAGGAUCGGCUAACUCCGUGCCAGCAGCCGCGGUAAUACGGAGGAUCCAAGCGUUAUCCGGAAUCAUUGGGUUUAAAGGGUCCGUAGGCGGUUUGAUAAGUCAGUGGUGAAAGCCCAUCGCUCAACGAUGGAACGGCCAUUGAUACUGUCAGACUUGAAUUAUUAGGAAGUAACUAGAAUAUGUAGUGUAGCGGUGAAAUGCUUAGAUAUUACAUGGAAUACCAAUUGCGAAGGCAGGUUACUACUAGUGGAUUGACGCUGAUGGACGAAAGCGUGGGGAGCGAACAGGAUUAGAUACCCUGGUAGUCCACGCCGUAAACGAUGGAUACUAGCUGUUCGGAGCAAUCUGAGUGGCUAAGCGAAAGUGAUAAGUAU
rnacentral:rRNA from 1 species